rnacentral:rRNA from 1 species
GACGAACGCUGGCGGCGUGCCUAAUACAUGCAAGUCGAACGCUGAAGGAGGAGCUUGCUUCUCUGGAUGAGUUGCGAACGGGUGAGUAACGCGUAGGUAACCUGCCUGGUAGCGGGGGAUAACUAUUGGAAACGAUAGCUAAUACCGCAUAAUAGUAGAUGUUGCAUGACAUUUGCUUAAAAGGUGCAAUUGCAUCACUACCAGAUGGACCUGCGUUGUAUUAGCUAGUUGGUGAGGUAACGGCUCACCAAGGCAACGAUACAUAGCCGACCUGAGAGGGUGAUCAGCCACACUGGGACUGAGACAAGGCCCAAACUCCUACGGGAGGCAGCAGUAGGGGAUCUUCGGCAAAGGACGGAAAUCUGACCGAGCAACGCCGCCUGAGUGAAGGAGGUUUUCCGAUCGUAAAGCUCCGUUGUAAGAGAAGAACGAGUGUGAGAGUGGAAAGUUCACGCUGUGACGGUAUCUGACCAGAAAGGGACGGCUAACUACGUG